GGGGUUGUGGCUCAGUGGUAGAGUGCUCGCCUAGCAUGUGUGAGGCACAGGGUUUGAUCCUCAGCACCA
rnacentral:tRNA from 1 species